rnacentral:rRNA from 1 species
AACGAACGCUGGCGGCGUGCCUAACACAUGCAAGUCGAGCGCGAAUGGAGCAAUCCUAGUAGAGCGGCGCACGGGUGCGUAACCCGUGGGUAAUCUGCCCUGAAGCCCGGAAUAACCUGCCGAAAGGCAAGCUAAUACCGGAUAAGCCUACGGUCCCCUCGGGGACUGAAGGAAAAGGUGGCCUCUGCAUGCAAGCUAUCACUUCAGGAUGAGCCCGCGGCCCAUCAGCUCGUUGGCGGGGUAACGGCCCACCAAGGCAACGACGGGUAGCUGGUCUGAGAGGACGAUCAGCCACACUGGAACUGAGACACGGUCCAGACUCCUACGGGAGGCAGCAGUGGGGAAUUUUGCGCAAUGGGCGAAAGCCUGACGCAGCAACGCCGCGUGUGUGAUGAAGGUCUUCGGAUUGUAAAGCACUUUCGACCGGGACGAAAACCCGCUGGCCAAUAUCCAGCGGCUUGACGGUACCGGGAGAAGAAGCACCGGCUAACUCUGUGCCAGCAGCCGCAGUAACAC